rnacentral:lncRNA from 1 species
UGUCUCGUGACGUAGGGAUAAAGUAGAAUUGGGUCACUAUACUUGAUGUGAGUGCACUAUAUAUUUUAUUAAAUAACCCAGGAGUUAUACCUAAAAUAUAUCAACCAUCCUAAAACACCCCUGACACCCUACACUUUCUAAAAUACACUCCGUAUGUGAAAACCGAGCCCGAAAUACAAUAUAGCAUUAAAAAUAAAUGAAAAACAAGAAAUGGUAAAUUGAGGCGGGCCGCGUGAGCCCACCCCAAACCCUUACGCGGGCCGUAUGAAAGCUAGAACCGGACUCCUUUGGUUUCUUAAGUCUAGGCGGGCCGCGUAAGGCCACACCGUUAGUUUACGCGGGCCGCGCGUGUUCCAAAUGGUGGCGCAACUCUGAGCUGACACGUUUCGAUAUCGUGUCGAGUCUACCUGGUGACCAGGCUAAGCUACGCAGUUGACCAGAGUCAACGCGGGCCGCGUAAGCCCAGUCCAUAUUUUACGCGGGCCGCGAGGGAGUCCAGUAUCAGCAACUAUAAAUAGCAGGCAUCGGAUUUCAUUUCUGUUCGUCCCAAAUUUCAUUCUCAAUCACAAUUUCUGUAGUAGGCUUAUAAUACGCAGGUAUUAUACCCCCUAAUUAGCGAAGCUCUGCCUCGUUAUUAUAACCAGGAAGCCACAAGGGAAAUACCUAAAAUAGCAAUGUGAGUAAUCUCCUUUUUUAAAUGCUUUUACAAAACCUUACAUACUUUUCCAUGCGAAUGACAGUUAUUGAGUAUUUGUAACUUAGUGUAAAGCCAAUAGAAGCCAGCUGGAGAGCACUGAAGACUUGGAAAAGUGGCAAUAAAGUUACCUAAAAUAAAAUAGAUAUUUUUAUUAAAUAAAAUAGGAUUUAUUCCUAUGAAAAUGUAUGUACUGAAAAACUUGGGUUUUAUCCCAUGUGUUUAAUAUAAUGAAAAUAUGGUGGUUU